UACGUAGGGAGCGAGCGUUGUCCGAAUUUACUGGGCGUAAAGCGCACGUAGGCGGAUUUGUAAGUCAGGGGUGAAAUCCCGGGGCUCAACCUCGGAACUGCCUUUGAUACUGCAAAUCUCGAGUCCGAUAGAGGUGGGUGGAAUUCCUAGUGUAGAGGUGAAAUUCGUAGAUAUUAGGAAGAACACCGGUGGCGAAGGCGGCCCACUGGAUCGGUACUGACGCUGAGGUGCGAAAGCGUGGGGAGCAAACAGG
rnacentral:rRNA from 1 species